rnacentral:rRNA from 1 species
UACAGGGGGUGCAAACGUUGCUCGGAAUUAUUGGGCGUAAAGCGCACGUAGGUGGUCAUUUAAGUUGGAUGUGAAAGCCCUAGGCUCAACCUAGGAAGUGCAUCCAAGACUGAAUGGCUAGAGUACAGAAGAGGAUCGCGGAAUUCCCGGUGUAGAGGUGAAAUUCGUAGAUAUCGGGAGGAACACCAGCGGCGAAGGCGGCGAUCUGGUCUGAUACUGACGCUGAGGUGCGAAAGCGUGGGGAGCAAACAGG